GCUGGGGGGAUGGUAGCCGAGUGGUUAAAGCACUCACAGCUAUUUACCGAAAGUCGAUGGUUCGAUUCCAUCCUGGAGCA